UCCGUAUCAUGUUGAAACACCGGUUACCGUACGAUUACCGAAGGUAAGCAACACCGAGUCUGGUCUGUACCGAGAUGGUUGACAGCCUGGAAAUACUAGGUGCUGUUAU